UACACACAUCUGCCUCAGUAUCACCAGUCAAACUUUUAACCUCCACAUCCAUUUCAUAGCAGCUGAGCAGGAAGGUGGAAACAGGUACUACGAGCAGUGGGCGACCACUGUACAGCGCCCAGGAGCACCGACUGGAGAAUUAACAUACAUGUUUGGAUGGUUGGGGACACUGGAGCACCGGAGGACACCCCAUGCAAACACGGGGAGAACACACAGAAAUACCCUGCCCCAGUCCGGAAGUGAACCUACAACCUUUUUGCUGUGAGGCAACAGCCUUCCCACCCUGAUUUACAUUUGUGACAAAUAACUUUUAUUCAAAGGCAGCUUGGAUUGUUAGUCAUCAAUACGUUGUCAUGCAGAGAAGACGUAUUGAUUGAAUAUAGUUUAGUUAUGCUGGUAAUGUUAUACUCAAUCAUUCAUUCAGUACACAGUAUGCAGUACAUACUGACUGAGUAUGUAAUGUGCAGUAUGUUAUUAUGUGACACAGCUUUGGUCUGGUUCUUAUUUCAUGCACUGCAGAACAGGAAACAGAGCUGACUGUGGAACAUUGGACGCUUUCUGAGGUUAACAUCUAAGAACUGUUGUCUUAUCCACAUUUCAAUGUGUUCACCUUAAAGCUGUGGUUUCAGGAUGAUUUUAUCUUUCUGGUGUUGUUUGGUGUUGUUGCUGCCAGCGUGAAUAAAAACAACAGCAGUUCCUUUAUUCCAGAACUAACAGUUGGUGGAACGUAAGCUAACUGAAAAUGAGACUUCAGCUGUUGUGUUCUUCUGAAAGAAUGAAAGGAUCUAACAGUUCAUUAGCAUCCUUAACAUUAACAGUUUCCAUGUGGUGGUGCUUUAACUCAAAGAUGGCUGUCUUUAACUGAAAGAAGUGUGAGCAGUGUCCCACUUCAAAAUGACAUUAAGUUCAUCCCAGCAGCAGCAGGAGGAGCAUUAACUGGACUCUGCACACAAAUACUGCAAACUAACACA